CCGUGGUACGCGGAAGUAAAGGUUAGAAGCAGGCUUUUCCUUCGUCCAGCUGUUUUGCCGCUUCGUGUUAAGGAGAAACUGGCUAUCAAUCGCACUGUGCCAGAGGCACACAGUGAGAGAGAGAGAGAGGCAGAGACACAGGCAGAGGGAGAAGCAGGCUCCAUGCACCGGGAGCCCGACGUGGGAUUCGAUCCGGGGUCUCCAGAAUUGCGCCUGGGCCAAAGGCAGGCGCCAAACUGCUGCGCCACCCAGGGAUCCCUACUUAAAAAUAUUUUUAAAAAAUAAAACUGGGUUUUGGUGACA